rnacentral:tRNA from 1 species
GUCAGUGUAGCUCAGUUGGUAGAGCAUGGUGUUUGCAACGCCAGGGUUGUGGGUUCGAUUCCCACAGGGGACC